AUGAACGCUGGCGGCGUGCUUAACACAUGCAAGUCGAACGGAAAGGCCCAAGCUUGCUUGGGUACUCGAGUGGCGAACGGGUGAGUAACACGUGGGUGAUCUGCCCUGCACUUCGGGAUAAGCCUGGGAAACUGGGUCUAAUACCGGAUAGGACCACAUUUUGGAUGGUGUGGUGGAAAGUUUUUCGGUGUGGGAUGAGCUCGCGGCCUAUCAGCUUGUUGGUGGGGUAAUGGCCUACCAAGGCGUCGACGGGUAGCCGGCCUGAGAGGGUGUACGGCCACAUUGGGACUGAGAUACGGCCCAGACUCCUACAGGAGGCAGCAGUGGGGAAUAUUGCACAAUGGGCGCAAGCCUGAUGCAGCGACGCCGCGUGGGGGAUGACGGCCUUCGGGUUGUAAACUCCUUUCGCUAGGGACGAAGCGCAAGUGACGGUACCUGGAGAAGAAGCACCGGCUAACUACGUG
rnacentral:rRNA from 1 species